rnacentral:lncRNA from 1 species
UCAAACUGCACUUCAUGAGGAGAAAACUGAAGAAUCAGUGAAGGAUCAAGAAGCUACAACAGAUGAAGUAGUUGCCGAAGCUCCUGCAGCGGAAGCAGCUGCCGAAGAGCCAAAGGAAGCGGAGCCUGCGGCGGUGGCAGUCGAGGAACCUGAAGCCUCGGUUGAAGUUGAAACCAAGGAGGUGGUAGAAGAACCAAAGGCUGUUACUGAGGAGCCAGUAGUAGAGGAGACUCCUAAGGAAACAGUGCCAGAACCAGUUGCCGAGGAGAUCAAGGAAACCACUGAACAAACCGUUGAAACCAAAGAAACUACAGAGUCUAGUGAGGCAGCAGCAGAAGCACCCAAAGAAGAAGUUGAGAAGGAAGAAGAAGCAAAACCGGCUGAAGUGGAGGAGAAAGUUGAAACAGAAACUGAUCCAGCAGAGAAGACUGAGUAAAUAAUAAAGCUUUUGUGAUGAAAAUGAGGGUGUCAAUGGAAGAUUGUUUCAAGUGGCUACAGUUUGAUAAGUUUGCAUGUCAAUUCAACUAGUUUUCUUCUAUGUAGGUCAAUAAGGAUGUGGUAAUGUGGCUGAUGGAGGCCCACCGAUAGUAGUCUUGCAAUGGCUAAGUUAACAUGCAUUUGCAUAUGUCAAAGAGUGACAUACUUCAUGUUCCAUUGUGGGGGAAUUUUUAUGGGUCAUCUGUUAUCUGUAAAGGGAUGGGUUUCUUGGGUCCCAAACCACCUUUCUUUGCUUAUGUUUAUUGUUUUGCUUGUAUGGUUAUUAGGAGAGGCAGUAUCAAGUAUGCAUGUUGUCUUGGUUAUAAUAAAUCUUAGUCCUUUUGUUUAACAUUUGUUCAAUGUCCAAUUUCUUCCUAUUGCUCCAAUAUACCCAAAACCCGAGACUGCUUUUUCUUUUAAAAUAAUUUAAUUUAAUGCAAUUUCUUUUCCUCACACUCUUUCAAAUUAGCCUACAUUGUCCAUUUUCACAUAAAUGCAUUGUUUUGAGACCUAGGAUCUGUUUUGAAAAACACAUUAAAGUCUAAUUAUUAAGACUAAUUAAUUAUAAAGAAUUGUAAUUAUUUAGAUGUGUUUGGCUAACAAAAUAUAAUUAUAUUGUAAUUCAUGUAAUUUUUUAUGUCAUGUUUGACAGUACAAAUUGUAAUUAUAUAGUUAUAUAAUUUAUAUUUUUUGUAAAAUAUUAUUAGCGUGAUAAUUUUUUUCCAAACAAGUAAUAAAAAUAAAAAUUAAAUUAUCAUAUGUAUUAUGUUAGUCCAAAAAUGUAGUUGAUAAUACGAUUACUAAUAAAAAUAACAAGGAAAAUAAACAUUAUAUGUAAUUUUAUCUAAUUGUUCUAGUGCUCCAUAUUUGUUGAUUUUUUUAUAGUAUUAAGUAAUUGCAAUCACUCCACAUAUGUUGUGCUUGCGUUGUGACCAAGUCAAUUAUUAACGUGUCAUAAUGUUUUAUUGAUGUUGAGGCUAAAGCCUUUGUUUUGUUGAUGGAGCUUGUGCUUCACCAUCUAUGACGAGUACUUACUAUUUUUUCUCUCUGAAUUGUAUAAUUCUAUUCAUUGAAUAAAUUAAUGAAUUUACCUUUCGAUUUUAUUUUGUGAUUUAUUUUUAAUUAUGAGAACUAUGCUACGAUAAUAUCCUGUUAGAUGUAUUUUAAGACAUAUUAUUAUGUGGUUUACUAUAUUAAGACAUUUAGAAAAUUUUCAGUAUGAAUAAAUUUUAUUUAUAACAUUAUUAGUUUAUUAUAUUCUUUUAAUUUUUUUGAAAUUUUUUUUUAUAUCUAGUGGAAUCAAAUCAACAAGCCUUUUAAUUCAUUAUAAAAUUAGGAUUUGUUUGAAACAUUUUUAUUCUUUUUUAGAUUUAACCACCUUCAAUUUUGGAAGAAAGAAUAAUAAGGGUAACUAAGACUUACUAACUACAAACUUGAUUUAGCAAUUAUAUUUGUAUGAAAUACUAAUUAUUUUUUAUAGAAUAUGGAUAGAAUUGUUCAUUUAAGCUAUAUAGGAAUUGCAGGUUAGACUAUUUAUAGUUUACAUUCAUAUAAUUUAAUUAUUUAUAGUUUUGCUUAAAGCAAUACCUGAAAUUAACUUUUUUUUUUAAUAUUCCUAUAGAUUAGUCUUUAGUAAAAACAAAACAUGAUUUCAAGUAUUUUUUAAAUUUAUUCUAAAACAAGUUUUAUAUAUACGUAAUUUUUAUAUAUGUAUUGUUAUAUUUAAAAAAUAUAUGUAAGACAAAUUUGAAACAAUUUUGUUUUCAAUUAAAACUAUAAUUUAAAAAUUAUCAAUUAAAUUUUAUUAUUAAAUAUUUAAUUCAAAUAUUUGUUUAGAAUAAAGCUUAUUACAAAAAUUAAAUACAUGAAUAUUAACUUUUAUUUAAUAAGGGUAAAUUUGUAAAUUAUCAUUAUAUUCACAGUAAAAAAAUUUAGUGAACCAAAUAUGAUAAUGUAAAACUCCUAGAAUUUUAAUUAGUACCUUCCGAUGUAUAUCAAAUAUUGUAAAGUAAUUUUAUCGACAAUCAUAUUCUAUGAAUUAUAUUCAAUUACAAUCAUACCAUGGAAAGCACCAAACGCUACCUUAAAUGUUGCAAUAUUAAUGACAAAACUUCUAUGAUCGUAAAGGAUAUUAUUAAAAUUAAAAUAAGUUAUGGAUAUGAUUAUACCAGUAUUAAUGCAUCGAAUUCCAUCAGAAUUCCACAAUUAAGUGUACUUGGAUGAGAGUAGUAUUAGGAUGAGUAACCUUUCGAUAAUCAUAAAAAAAAUUAAAAUAAAUUGUAUAGAUGUAAAAGAUUUAGAGAUGAACUGAAAGUAUUAUGAACGAAGUAUCUAAAACUGGUUGGUGAAUAAUCUACGAACUACGAAUGUUGCUGUUGAGGAAAUUGUAAGGUACCGAUAAGUUUGCUUUUACUGGAUUCUAUUUCGCAGGUAAUGAAUGAUAGUAUUAUUUUAAGGGUUUCUGAGUUUGUAUAUGGUCUGAAACAAAUUUAAUGGUAACUGGUAGUGUAUAAGGUAAUUCAUAUGUAAUCAGUCUAUUGUGUCAUAAUAAAUGUUUUUUAUAUAAUUCUUAACAAUGAUGUAAAUAUAUUUAAUUUAAGUAAAGCAUGUUGUCACUAAAACUUGAAUUCUUGAUUCUAUGAUUUGAUUUACAAUUGUUGAUAUAUGUUAUCGAUAAGAAAAGAUUUGGCUGAGGUGAAUGGCUUUCACUCUUAAAGAGCGGAGAGACGGUGUGAUGAAGUCGAAGAAAAAAACUUUAGGGAGAGUGAUAGAGAGAAGUAUUGGUUGAAUAAAAGUGUGUGUAGGAUUCAUGUCCGCUAUUCAAGUGAGUAUGCUUAUAUAUGAAAUGUUAGGGAUGCCAUGUGUAAAUGUUAUGUUGGCGGUAGGGUCACCUUCUAUGUCCUUAUAAAGAUAAUGAUGUGACCCUAUAGAAAAUAAUUUACAUAAAUUACUGAGAAUUAUUGCUAUCAUGACUUUAUACUAAAAUUUAAUAUUUGUUUUGACUUAAUGUGACAUUAUAUUUCUUGAAUGUAUGAUUUUUUUAAUAUUUUUAAAAAUAUAAUUUAAUUUACUAUAAUUUAAGGAUAAUUAAUUUAUUUUAUGUAAAAAAUUUCAAUUUUUUAUAUACUAAAUAAUCAUCCUUAAUUUAAUUUAAUUUAAUGAUAAAUAAAGUUUUUGAUUUGUUAUAUGUUUUAAAUAUUUCUAGCAUCGUACUAAUUAAAUAUAUAGAAUUGUAUUUGAAAAUUGGUUUACAAAAACUAUAACAUUCAAACAAAAUAUAAUUUGAGUUAACAUUUAUGAAUAAUAACAUUCAAACAUAUGAAAUAGUUUACUAAUUUUUUGUUGUACAAAAUAUUUUUACAACAUAAUUGUAUAAUAGUAAUGCAAAAACUAUAACAUUCAAACAGAUGUUUAAUAAUAAAUGAAAUAUUUGGGGAUAACCUACAAUGAUUUCUCUUUGAAUGUAAGUGUUGCAAUUGUAAUGACAAAACUUUUAUGAUCAUAAGAGGUAUUAUUAAAAUUAAAGUAAACUAUAUAGAGUUAAAAGGUUUAGAAAUGAAUUGAAAGCAUUGUGUACGAACUAUCUAAAAUUAGUUGGUGGAUAAUUUAUGUACUUUGAAGUAUUAAAUAGAUUUUUUAAUAGAUUUUUUUGAUAAAAUUGUCAUGAUUUUAAUGGAAUUAAAAUUGGGUUAAGACAUUGGAAAAUUAAUUUAUGAUGUUUAUUUUGGGAAAUAGAAAAAUAUGUAUUAGAUUGAAUUAAAUUAUAAAGUGGGGUUAAAAGUCCAGGAAGCACAUAUGCCCAAAUCCCCAUCAUAAUAUAUAUGAGGGGAAGCACACAUUAUUAGCCCCCUCUCUCUUAGUUCGACUAGGAUUUUUUUUCUAUUGAAAUAAACUUAUACUAAAUCAACAAGGGUUUCACUUCUUCUCCCUAUAAAUAGAUGACACCGGUAGGGCUAAACAUACAACUUUGAUAUACUGUUAUUUUGCCUGAAAAUAGUGAGAGUUUAUUCUCUAAGUAUUAAUUCUACUUUUCGAAAUAACAAUUCUACCAGUUUCUAUUUAGAGAGAAUUUUGCUUUACUUUGAAAGUAAAAUAAACAAUAUUUGGUUCUGUGUUUGAUGCGGAUUUGUUUAAGCCCACACUUGAAGCAGUUUGUGGUACGAGAAUAGUGGAGAAGGUCGUUCGGUUAAAAGUUAGGAACGAUAAGGAUCUGUUUAGUCGAAAACACAAGUGCAAUUUCGGUAAAGGAUUUACUGCUAUAAAUAUCACAUAUCGACUCGAUUUUCAAAAUUUUUAUUUUUCGCUGUACAAGAAAAUCAUUUUCUAACUUGAUUUUUCUAAUAUUUGGUAUCAGAGCUAGGUUGUGCUAUGUUUAUAGUAUAAAUCGAUACAAAAUCUUUUCUCUCUUCUUCAUGUGUGAUUAUUUUUGAUAAGAUGUAAAAUUCUGAUAAUUAUAUAUAUGUUUAGGGUAAUGUAUGCAAAUGAAUGUAUGUUAUUAUUUUAUUAUUAUGUAUGAUCAAGUAAUUUUCUCAAAGUUGUGAUUCCUAGAAAAUUAAAUAUAAUUUUAUUAAUUUCUCGGGUAUGUAUAAAUUAGAUUGUGGACUAUCAUCUCCAUGCAGGGUUUAAUUUUAUUAUUUUAGAAUAAAUAAUGUGAGUCAGAAACAAACAUAGGAUUUAUGUAACCUAUAUUUUUUGACGAAACUCAGAGAACCAAGACACAUCGAGGCCAAUCAAGACAACAUAAACUCAAACCAACCAAAUUGACAAUAGACUGAUGGUGGUCAGAUAGUUGGAGGCUACCGGUGGUCCGACGGUGAUGUUCAAUAGCAAGGGCUAGCGGUAGAGACUGAUGGCGAUGGUCUAUGAUAGUGGUUGGUGGCUAUCGGUAGUGGCUGAUUAUGGUGGUCUAGCAGUGGCCGACGACAGUGGUUGGUGGUGGUACAAUGAUAACUCGUGACAAUUCGGCGAUGGCGGUGACACGUAAACGAUGACAGAAUGACAACGACGAUAAUAACGUGAACCGGUACCGUAGCAAAAGUCCAUGGUGUCAAAAUAGAAUACCCUAAAUAUGCUUUGGGGUGAAUUUUAUAAUUUUUUUUUACUUUUCUAGAAUAGAAUCAUGGAAAAUUUAGCUGGUUAGGGUCAUUUAAAUUUGUAUGCUUUUAUAUGUGUUAGCAUGAUGAUAUUUAUUUGACUGCGAAUAUAUGUUUAUGCAUAUGUAUGAUAAGCAUGCCAUAUAGUUUAAGGCAAUAAUGCCACAUGUACUUGUCAUGUAUACAUUGAUCAUUCAUGUUUGAAACCGAACAUUAAAAAUCUUACAUGUUUUUAAAAGAUUAAGUGGGAGAAGAUCCCUAAACAAGACCUACAGUCUCCAUCAAUGGUCUAUUGUGAUUGCAUAACAAUUUAACUACUUACAGUAGGAUUGUCAUAUGGACUUCACUGAAGAGAUUUCUUGAAAGUAAGUAGAACUGUCUUGUAAUCAUAUGAUAGUUGGAUCGACCUUGUUAUAGGUAUUAUCAUGCGAUAUGACAAGAAAUUCUUUCUUCAAAGAGGAAUACUAGUCAUAGCAUGUUACUCGGUAAGAUUAUCCUAUGAUGACACAUUUGUGGUACAUGAUGCGAUGGGUGUUAAGUUGAUAGUUACACACUUAAGCUCUUCUAGUCAAGUAACUUCCCACAAUGCUUUACUUAAGUUAGAAUAAUGACCAAACAUUAAAUAAUUAUUAGUGUAUGUGAAUGCUUAAGGAAUUACAUUCAUGUACUGAUUGAAUGAAAAUCCAUGUUCUUAAUAGUUGAUUAUGAUCACCCCAUGGUGACUUGAUUCAAUAGGUGUAAGAAUUAUUGUUGCAACGACUUAUAAAUGUUUUCAAGGUUUAAUGUAAGACGCAUGCAUCAUUUUAAUGCAUAUCAUAAUGUUGCAAAACAUUUUCAAAUAUUUUCUUAAUACAAAGAUAUUAAUGAAUGGAUGUUUUAAUUUUAGUUUGAAAAUAGAACCUAUUCCUUUAUUAAAUAUACUCACAGAAAAUAAACUAAUUGAAAAUAACUGUAAGGAAUGGAAAAGGAACCUGAUGAUUGUUCUAAGUUGUGAGAAACUAAAGACAGUCCUUGAUAAUAAAUGCCUACUGGCCACUCAAGAUGAGGCUAGAAAACAUUGGGAGGAGUCUGAUGAGAUAACUCGUUGCUAUAGACUAGUAAGCGUGACCAACACCCUUUAUAAACAACUGAAGAGUUGUAAGACUGCAAAAGUAAUUCUAGACAAACUAGAAGACAUGUUCGAAGGCCAAGAUGUCUUGGCUCAACAGUCGACUCAUACUAGUUUGAUGAAUGCCCAACAAAAACCCAACACUCCAUUCAAAGACCAUAUGAUUACUCUUAUGGGAUACAUUGCCGAGGCCGUGGAUAAUAAGGCCAAUUUGGAUUAAAAUAAUCAAAUUAUGAUGGUGUUCAAAAGCUUGUCCAAGGCUCUUGCAGGCUUUUGAGCUAUAAAUAACCUUGAGAACACUAAUUUGACGCUUACACAACUCAUGAAAGAAUUACAACCCUAUGAGUUAAUGUUAAAUGGCAGCCAACUGGUACGAAGAGUGGAAGCAAACUUAGCUGUAACUUUUUCCUCAAAAGGGAAGAAAAAAUGUGCUAAGAAAAGUAAGGGUAAGUUAUUUGGGCCACCAAAAGUGGAAAGGAAGUUAUCCAAGAAGCUUAAAGACUUAUCUAAGUAUAAAUGCAUCUUUUGUAGUAAGAAAGGGCACUUCAAUGCAAAUUGUAAAAAAUGGAAGGAAUACCUUGCACCAAAGCGAAAGUAUGAAACUCUUUAUGAUAGAAACUUGUUUAGUGGAAGAUUCAAUAGACCAUUGGGUCAUUGAUUUUGGAGUCACUAAUCAAAUGUGUGUUUUUUUGCAGGGGUUCGAGGAGAUGAAAGAUCUUAGAUAUAAGAGUCUAUCGUUGCAGCCAAAAAAUGAGACAACUAUAGCAGCUGAAGCAUGGGGAUAUAUACAUAUUUACUUUGAUAAUUUUAGGAAGAUUAUUUUGAAAGACGUUUCCUAUGUACCAAGUUUCAAAAGAAACUUGAUUUUUGUUGCAUGUUUAUAUAAAGACGGCUUGACCAUGACUUUUAAUAAUAAUAUUGCAAUAUUUAGAAAUCGUAAACUUAUCUGUGAUGGAUGGAUGUCAAAUAAUCUCUAUUUUAGCAAACCAAAUAUGUGCACAUUGCUUGAGACUAAAAUUUCGAAUAAAAGACUUAAAACUUCUCACUCUAAUGAGGUGUACCUUUGGCAUUUGAGACUUGAACAUAUUAACCAAGAUAGAAUUACCAGACUUGCGAAAUAUGGUUCUUUAUGUUCGAUUAAACAAGUUGAUCUUCCACAAUGCGAAUCUUGCUUCGAAGGAAAGAUGACUAAGUGAUCUUUUAAUGCAAACGGAACGAGAGUUGUGAAACCCUUAGUGUUGGAUCUGGUGCCCUAAGUAUAGUAUUUUCUUUUAAGUACACUUGUAAUUUUUUUAACAGAUUAGUUACUAAAAUUAUUCAUAGAUUACAUUAAUAUAUUUUGUAUAAUUUCCUCAUGUGGUUUUUUGCAUGCAAAGAAAAAUAGAAGCAAAUAUUUCUCACUAGUUGUCUAAUGUUUAAAUUAAUACUAAGCAGUAUUACGUGGUCAGAUCGUAAUAUGGAAAGAUAACUUAGAUUAGUAGAUGAACCUAAUCACGUCCUUAAUAGAAUAGGAAAUUAUAAAAUGGAUUGAAAAAUUAAUAUGUUGUCUAUCAGGUCCAAUUGGGAAGAUGCCUUGUAUUGAACAUUAGAGCAAAUAACUCCAAGAAGAUAGAGACAUAGAUCUGACUGACUGGACUGAUAGUACAUCAGACUGGACCCAAGAAAAUAGAUCCUAAAUUCAUUUAUAAAUUUAUCCACUUGUGACAUUUAUAGUGUGGCAUACCUAAAUCCUGAGUGGAUGACGAAUCAUGUAUGUGUGACUCGUAUACUUUGAUAUAAGUAAAAGCCUGAGUUCGAAUAGAUAAGGAAUUGAAAGUUGGUGCAUUCAGUAUAUAACUUCUACAGUGUGUAACAUUAUUCACAAUAGUGGAAUUCAUAGCCCAAGACACCGGUAAAUGAUAUCAUUUUAUUGGCAUUACAUGGUUGAUAAAAAGUAAAUGUGGCCACAGGUCGUUCGUCUUUGUGAUGAUUGACUUGAUUACUAUUUGAUAGUAAUUGACUUGUAACACCCAUAACCCAUUUCCAUCUCUAGAUUAGGGUUACAGAGUAUUACUACACAUUUCAAAACAUUUAACAACGAGUAAUAUUGAGUUUAUCAAUUAUUUAACAACAUUCAUAAAUAAUUUAGAUUGAAGUCAAACAUACACUUACGAGCUUUAAAUCGAGCCUAUGAGGCCUUAAAAAAUAGUUUAGAAACAAUUAAGGCCAAUUUGAAACAAUUCAGAAAGUUUGGGGAAAAACUAAAAAUUUUCAAAAUAGGGGUCACAUAGUUGUGUGUCUAGGUUUGUGUGAUAGAGCCUAGAUCGUGGGGCUCCGGACAUGGUCAUAUGGCUACUCCACUCAUCCGUGUGGCUAUUCCACAUGCCUAUGUGACUAUUUGUAAUAGCACGAUUUUGGGUCUAGUCGGAAUAGUGGUUUCAAGACCACAAAUCUGAAGUAUAAAAAUUUAUUUUUGUUAUAUUUUUAUGGUCUAUAGUUUUAUGGAAUGAUUUCGUGAAAAUUUUGUUCGAAAAUUUUAACGCUUAGGCACUCAAUUUGGUCAAAAGGACUAAAUUAUAAAAAGUGAAAAAGUUGAGUUCUACAUGCUAGAGGUGUCCAAUUAUUAUGAAAUUUUAAAAUGGAGGUCUUUAAAUGGCAAUUAGACCAUUGGUUAAGUUGUUGGACAAAAAUGGACAUGGUUAGGUAUGUUUUUAAAGUUUUUCAUUAUGGGCAUUUUGGUAAUUUGGUAAUUAAAUGAAUUAAAAGCCAAAUUAAAAGCCAAUUUUUUUCCAUCUUCAAGCUAUGGCCAAAUUUCACAAGGGGAAACCAUGGCUAGGGUUUUUCAAGCUUUCAAGCUCGAUUUUAAGUCCAUUCUAGCCUCGUUUUUAAUGAUUUUUAUGUUUUUGAAAUCCUUGUAACAAGAUCUAUCUAUUUCUACCACUAAUUUUAGAUAUAAUAAAAGUUUAAAUUUUUACCCAUGAUGAAUAUUAGUGUAUUUUGAUGUAUAAUGGUAGAAAAUGCAUGUUAGAUGUUAGAUAAAUGACUUUUGCUAAGUGUUUUUCGGUAAAAAUGUAAAAAAUGACUUGUUUGUAAAAGUUAUGAAAAUGUGUGUAAAUGUGUGAAUAAAAGGAAAAUGUGGGCUGCUAUAAGCAUGUAUAAGGUUUGGCUAGGCAUGGGUAUUGAAGAAAUUAAGUACAUUUCAUUUUACGAGCCUAGGGACUAAAAUGUAAAAAUGUGAAACUUAAGGGGAAAAAAGUAUUUUUUUCCAUAAUAUAAUUUUGGGCUGGUUUGAAUAGCUUAAUGAUUAAAUAAUUUGAAUGUGAUAAUAUAGAUCAAGAAAAAGGAGAUUGGAACUAGAAUGGGGGAAAAACGAGUAUUUGACGAUUAGGUCUUUUUCGCCAUUUUUAUGUCAAGGUAAGUUCAUAUGUUUAAUAAGCAUUAAAUUAUAUAUGUAUUAAUGCUUAAUUGUUAUAUUUGUGAUAAAUUCUAUAUUAUUGAAAUGAAAUGUGAAUAUUAUUGAGUAUGGUAUUACGGAAAUGACCGAUAGCGAUUUGGUACAGUGAGAAAUCCCGUUUGAACCUCAGGAAUAGAUUAGGAUACAAGUGACAUGUCACUAACCAUGAGUUAUGUGAUUUAUGUGAAUCUGGGUGCUGGUCAUGUACAUCCUACCGGUGGUUGGGUAGUCCAGCAUGUGUUGCGGAUACCUGACAGCUUGUAUGAGUAGCCCGUGUAGUUACGUCUUGACUGACAGCUUGUGUGAGCAGGCCUGUGAUUAGCUCGUGUGCGAGCCCUAUGUGUUAUGAGAUAUGAGGUAGCAUUGGAUACAUAUGUGACACUUAUGUGUAAGACCUUCUGUGUAUCCGACAGUGUUUUAAGUGUUCAACGGGUAAUCCGAAGAGUAUGUCAAAGAUGGCAAAGUAUGUGACUAUGUUAUGAAUUUAUACAGAAUGCUCAGUAUCAAGCACACGGGCAGAGACAUAGGCGUCUGUCUCAGCCAUUUGAAGGACACGGCCUUGGGACACGGGCGUGUGCCUUGGCCGUGUGACCUCAAUUUUUUCAUGACGUCAUAAAUAGAGAGUUGCACAGGUUAAGAACACGGGCGUGUUCCUUACUACACAGGUGUGUGCCUCGGUCCAUACGGCCGUAUGGCCCUGUUUCCAUGAGAAAUUUUUUAAGUUUUCUAAAAGUUUUCAAAGUUUUCGGUUUAGUCCUGAACCACUUACGAUGUAUGUUUUGGGCCUCGUAGGCUCGUUUUAGGGACGAUAUGAAUGUCUGUGAAAAGUUUUAAAUUUGGAUGGAAAUUUACGUUUGGUUUUGCUUAUGUUUACGUCUGGUAAUGCCUUGUACCCUGUUCUAGAGUCGAAUAUGGUUAAGAGGUGUUAUAUUUAGUGGUAUCAAUGCCAUGGUUUAGUUGAUUCUCAGGCUAACCUAGCAUGUGUGAGAGUCUAGCUAUGCAUGCCAUAUAGAGCCCGUGAUAGUUUGAUAUCUCUCGACUCUGAUGAAAUUAUUUUGUUGAGACAGAGAUGCUUUCCAAUCGAGCUACUUUCGAAAACGCUGAAAGUGAUACUAAGAUAUUUGUAAAUGUGUUUGUGAUGAGUCAAAACUUGAAAAGGUAUGAAUAAGAGUCCAUGAUAUGUAUGUGAUGACGUAGAAAAUGGAAUAACCAUAAGUUGAGAAAUAUGGUUAAAAUGUCACUGUUCCGGUUGAACGUUGUGUUUCAAUGGAUUAUGGUGAUUUUAUGAAACAAAAUGAAAGUUUAUAUUGUGAUAAACUCAUCUAUGUUUGUUUGGCAUUCAUAUGAUGUUAUGUGCCUAACUUGUUUGACAAAGUGAAUGCAAUGAGUAAACUUACUCAAAAUUUAUGGAAUGUAUGUAUAAGUGCACUUGUUUGAAUAAGAUAAUCAAAAAGUUCGUGUAACAUAAAUAUGUAUGUUAAAUUGCCUAAAGUGGCUUAUAUAACUGUGAUGAUAUUAUAAUGAUGAUGAAUGUUAAGUCACAUGUGUAUAUAUAUGAGAGUCGAGUUAGAGGCUUUACGACCUCACCCCCUUACCAAUGUGGUAUUUUAUUGUGAAAUUUCACGAGAUUUAUGUUGAAUGAGUUCACAAGUGAGAGACUAAAGAGUUCAGUAGCGGAAUAACUAAUAAUGUGGUCAAAGUUGAAAAUAUCUUGGCAAGUGAAUACAGUUUUGGAAAAAAUGCCAGGUUAUUCUAAAGAUCAUUUGGAUUUCGUAAUGUCACAGUUAAAGAAAGAGUUAAUCUUGGCUAAUCGACUCAUUCAAGUAUAAUGUCUAAAGUAUGUAUUUGCUGGAAUUUCUUCUAGAUUGAUUUUCAUUAGUGAAUGGAAUAAUACGGGAUUAGUGAUGACAAAAUUAGUCAGAGAAAUAAUAUUUGAAUUGUAAAGAUGUUUGAGUGUAACAGUUGAAAUUGAAUAGAUUAUGAUGACCUCUCCUGGGUAUUUUAUAUAUUCACUUAUCCUUAGAGAUAUAUGUGAUUGUUCGUUUUCUGAUGAAAUUCUUAUCGUAUGAGAAUGCUAGUUGAUAAUAAUGUUAGAUGAAAGCACUAUUGUUUUGGUUGGUUGAUGAUCAGCAUAUCUUAUCUCCUUCUUUGGGGUUCUAUUCUAUUAUGUUUGGAAUAAUAGUUGAUGGUGCAAAUUCAUGUGAGGCUAUCCUUUUGUUUCUACUGGAUGUUGUUUUAUUUUAUAUAUAUUUGGAAAAUAUAUUAUCUCUGUUACAAUUGAUUCCAAAACAUGUAAGCAUUGUUUUCUUCUGGUUUUCUUUGAGGAAUCAUCAAGAUAUUUAUUAUUUUCAUAUGAAUUAUGUUCUCGGACUUCCAGUAUGGUAUCACAUCCUGGAUUUCUUUAUCUCGGUUUUCUUAUCAUCCUUAUUUCGUAAAUUAUCAAUCAUGGCUCGUCUUUAAAGUGUGUUCUUUGGCCUGUGAUAGCUAUGUCUAUUAUGGGUGUAUUUCUGGUUCGAUCAUAGGAACGUGGUGAUUUUGGUAUUAGGAUUUCUUUGAUUUUCGUGAAAGGAAUUGACAUCGGAAAAGGUAUAGAUAGUGGAAGCUCAAGCUCAAAUUGAAUGAUGGUUUUCAUUUCUCAGUUGAGAUCGACUCAGUUUUUUUUAUCUGAGCGAGCUGGUCAGUUGAAAGGUAAUUUGAGUUAUAUGCAUUUAAGUUUAUCCUCAAGUAAGAAAAUAAAAUCUUGUACAUUUAUGGUGAAUAAACGAAUAGUUUUAAGGAAGAGUUCAUAUUCUAAAAAGUAUGAUACAGAGGUAUACCUAUUAGAUUUGUUCUAAUUGAAUGAUGUUGUUAUGAGUUAAAACUGUUCCAAUUGAUAAAAUUAUCACAUUUGUGAAAGUUUGAAUGGUCCGUUGCAUGUUAAAAGUUGAAAACAGUUGAAGGUGUUAUUAACUGAAACACUGGUUCUGGGUUCUGUUUGCAUUGAUGUAAAUAAUUAGUGACUUUUCAUUUCUGCACUAUCGAACAGAUUAGAAUGUGUCUUAAUACAAGAGUAUAAAGUGAUAGUUUAUGCUUUUUGAUGAUUAAAAUCUCAUUAAAAGAAUUGUCCGAUGGGUGAUUUAGAGUCAACCACUAUUAUGUCUGUGUUGAAGUUGAUGACAUCGUUUGUUCGAUGAAAAAUGACAUAUGCUUCUUGAUUCCAAGAGUAUAAAUGUAAUACCCUUAACCCAAAUCCGUAGCCAGAUUUGGGUUACGAGGCAUUAUAAGACGAAAUCACAUUUCUCAUAAUUCUCAAGCUCAAAUAACAUCUCACCACUUAUUCAAAAAUGUCAAGUCAUUACAUAAAUAUAUAUCACAUAUCCAAUUAAAUAAAUCAUGAAUCAUUAUGAAACAAGUAGCCUUAAUUCACUUAAUCACAUAAAUCAAAUUUUCACAAUACAAACCAUGCUCCAAAACUCAACCAAGCCAUUACCAUUUACUUAUUCAAAUAUUCGAAUCAAAUAAGUAAUAUCCAUAUCCUAUUUCUUAUACUUCAUAAAUUCAAUGUUCAAAGCAUAUAUCCAUCAUGUCAUGGCAUUUGAAUACCAACUUGAAUAGAAACCAUUUUUCAAUCCAUAAAUAUCAAAUGCGCACAUAUGGACCAUUUAGCUAAUGAAAAUUAAACAUACUUUACUACUGUAAUACAUAUACUUUAUUACUCCAAUAACCGAACCAUAUAUUCAGCAUACAGGAUAUUCGAACUUCUAUUUAAUAAUCAAACAUGUCAAUUCAUAACAUUAUACAUAUGCAUGUUAAACCAAUUUGACCAUAUCAUCAUGGCUUAAUAUUCAUUUGCACAUAUAAACUUAAGUAACUUUAUAUCAUAACUAACUAAACUUUUAACAUUGUCAUACCAUGCGCAUAACACCUUUAAGCCAUUUCUAAAUACAAUUAUCAAAACGUAGCAUAUUAACCUUAUAACCUUUUUUGCACAUUUUACCAAAUCAAAUUUAACCAUUUUUGAACACAAUUGUCCAGUCAUACCAUACCUAAUUCUCAAACUCAAUAACAUAUUUAUCCAUGUCGUAUUCAACCACACACAUGGACCACAUACCAAAGCUGAAUUUAUUACAACAUAUGUAUAUCACACAUUUUUUUAAUCAAAUGUUAUAUAAGCAAUUUGACCAUUACUUGUCGAAUAACCCAAACUUCGUGACACAAGCAUAGAUUUUAUUUAAUUAUCAUCAAUCGAAUAUAAUAGAUCAUCAAUUAUCAUUUCCAAACCAAUAUAUAAACAAAUUUUGCAUCAAAAUAUAGAUUAAUAAUAAACCACACUAAAUACCCAAAUUCACAUAGCUUAGCAUAGUCAUUACAUAGUAAAUAUAAACACAUACCAACAUUAUCAUACAACCAAAUCAUUAACCACAUUGCCAUCACUCAAUAUUUUAAGCUAAAUAUGCCAUCUCAUAACUUAACAUCAAAAUAAUAUAUCAGUUAUUUUUAUUCAAAUGACCAUCAAACAUACCCAAAAUAUAAUCACCAUUUUACCAUAUUACUAAGCCAAAUUAUACCAUUUUCCAUGCCUUCAAAAUGAGCUACUAGUAAGCCGAAUAUACAUCUUACUUACCAUUCCUCAUUGCUGAAUCAUAUAACCAACAUCAAGACCAAAUAUAAACACCAACAUUAGCAUCAUGAUCAUGAUCAAGCCAUUUUCGCAUGGCUAUACACAAACAAAUUUCAAAACCACAUAUAUCAAAACUAGCCUAUACAUGCCACAUAACCAAAUUUCAAGUAUUUAUUUACCAAAACAAAUAUUGGAUAGUGUGAUGAUGUCUCCCAUGACUUACAACCCGAGCAAGUCUUUGAAAAUCUAUAAGCAUAGAAAAAAAAUACACAGAGUAAGCUUUGAUAGCUUAGUAAGCCACAAGCAAAUAAUUCAUCACUAGAACAUGUAUAAUUCAACCCAAAUAGGCCAAGUUUAGUUAAUUUCAUACACAUAUGCAAUCACUUUUCUCAUAUAAUCCAUAUCACUGCCUUAAGAAAUUUCACUUAUCUUAUUGAUAAACCGUAAUUUAUACAUAUUUUUAUCCCAUGCUUAGCGCAUUUAUGGAUGGUUUCUCUUUAGAUUUGGUGACUUCAAUAUUCCUAAUUCUUUAAUUUCAUGUUUUAUACUCAGGUGAGCAUAGGAAAGUAAAAGAGCGACAAACGGGCCAAAAACGAAGAAAAUGGACCCACAUGAGAAAUCAACAUGGCCUGGACUUCCUCACACGGACGUGUCACACAGCCGUGUCCAUUUGGCAGGAUCGAAGCACGACUUACACGGGUAGACUACAUGCUCGUGCCUGUUCAACAGCCUUUACCACAGGCUGGAGUAAUCGCACACGGGCGUGUCCCUGCCGAGCCCAAGUAUAGUCCUAUUCGAAAAAAGCCACUUGUGAGGGCUCUUAGGCAUUCUAAAGCCUAUUUAAACACCUGAGGAGGCACUUAGAAGACACACAUGAAGUAGGAAGCAAGGAAUUACUCAAGGGAAGCCGAUUGGUCCAUCUCAGAAGUCGGAUUCAUCGUUAAGACUGAAGAUCUCCCUUCAAUUUCUAUUCAGGGGUUUUGGGUUUUCUUUAUGUUUUGUAUUCAUUAUUCUUUUGAGAUGUUUCCUUUUUUAAUUAUGAACUAAACCUCCUAAAUACCUAAGGGGAAUGAAACCGAAGACAGAUCUUGUUAUUAUUAUCUGAAUUGUAUGAUAAAUAUUUGACUUGUUCUUAAUUAUGUGUUCUUAAUUCUUGUUUUAAUAUUCCAGGAUAUUGAUCCAAGUUAAUGCUCUUAUUCAGAGGAGGAAAAGACCCUGUCUAAGAGUAAAUUUGUCGUAAUUAAGUGGAGUUGAUUGCAUGCCUAGAGAUAGGGUGAUAAGAUUUUUUCAGAUUAGGGUGAAACCUAAUAAGAGGAUCCAUAGAUCGAGUUAAUGCAACACUAGGGCAUUAAUUUAGAAAGAGAUUUCAAUUAAUCAACCUAGGGUUAGACGUUAUUAGUCUCAAGAGAGAUAAUAAUAUAACUUAGGGAUUUCUACAGAUCAAGUCAAAUGAAUAAAUCGCCUGAUUCAGAGUCAAAUAACAAGUGAAGUCUAGGUGGAUUUUUCCUUGGGUAUUGUCUUAAUCAAUCGAAUUUUCCCAAAAGCUUUUCCCUAAUUUCUCUCUGUACACUCUUAGUUUAGUUAAUCAGUUUAGAUAAACAAAUCCCUUAAUUUUUAGACUAGAUAAUAAAAAGAAAGUAAUUACUAGUACUUUUGGUUCCUUUGGGUUCGACAAUCCGGUCUUGCUAAAGCUAUACUACUGUUCGAUAGGUACACUUACCUUCAUCGUGAUAAUAGUUAGUUUCAAGAAUGAUUAAUUAUAAAUUUUUAAAACUUGUUGCGAAUAUCACGUAUCAAGUGUUUGGCGCCGUUGCCGGGGAACUAAGAUAUUAGUAACACUCAAUUUUUAUUACUUUAGACAUUUUACUUUUAUUGCAAUUUAAAUUUUUAUUUUCUUUUCUAAUUCUUCAUUUAUUUUCUUCUGACAGGUUUUUUGUAGUUUAUGACCAGAAGAAACCCGUCAGGGCCACUACUUUUUGACGGUGAGAUCGACCACAUAGUUCGCAGAAACCGAAGAGAAUAAGGCGAAGCCUAAGAUACACAGAGGAAGAGCAAGAGGACGAUAUUCAUGCCACAACCAAGGAGAUGGUCGACAACUAGGAAAAUCUGCUACCUCCUGCAAUUGCUGCUAAUCAGAAUCUUGCUCCACGCACUAUGUAUGAUUAUGCUAAACCUUAUUUAACAGGAACUGAAUCGAGCAUAGUUAGGCCUGCUGUUGCUGCAAAUACUUUUGAAUUGAAACCUAACACAAUUCAAAUGAUACAGUAAUUUGUUCAGUUUGAUGGUUUGCAGGACGAAGAUCCCAAUGCUCACUUGGCAAACUUUUUGGAACUAUGUGAUACAUUUAAAAUUAAUGGUGUUUCUUAUGAUGCCAUUCGCCUUCGAUUAUUCCCUUUUUCAUUAAGGAACAAAGCUAAACAGUGGUUGAACUCAUUACCACAAGGGUUAAUCACUACCUGGGAACAAAUGACCGAAAAGUUUUUAUUAAAAUAUUUUUCGCCGGCUAAAAUAGCUAAAUUACGUAAUGAUAUCCCUUCUUUUAUGUAGAUGGAUUUAGAAACACUCUAUGAUACAUGAGAGAGAUACAAUGACCUUUUGAGAAGGUGCCCUCACCAUGGGUUACCACUCUGGCUACAGGUUCAAACGUUCCACGACGGCCUGAAUCCUUCGACUAGACAGAUAAUUGACACAGCUGCUGGUGGAACUAUCAAUAAUAAGACACCUGAGGAUGCUUAUGAAUUUAUAGAAGAAAUGUCAUUGAAUAAUUAUCAGUGGCAAGUCAUGAGGACAAAGCCAACAAAAGCGGCUGGCGUUUUUAACGACGAUUCAGUCACAAUGCUCUCCAAUUAGGUAGAACUUUUGAAUAAAAAAUUGAUGGUUUUCUUGGUUUUUCACAGGUUCACCCAGUAAUGCAGUGCGAAGCAAUUGGAGGUAGAUCAAGCAAUUCAGAAUAUCCACCCUAUGGCCACAACAUGGAGAACGAGAAGUUAAAUUACAUGGGUAAUAAUCCUCGAUCUCAAAAUAAUCCUUAUAGUAAUACUUACUAUGCAGGUUAGAGGAACCACCCAAAUUUCUUAUGGGGAGGCCAAGGGAAUCAGAGACCACCACCACCUCUAGGCUUCCAACAACCACCCUACCAACAAGAGAAAAAACCAAACCUUGAAGAGAUGCUAACAAAAUUCAUCUCGGUGCCAAAAACUCAUUUUUAGAAUAUCGAGACAACACUUAAAAAUCAACAAGUGUCGAUCCAAGGGCUCAAAACUCAAAUAGGUCAGCUCGCUAAAUUGAUAUCUGAACGACCACAAGAUAGCCUACCGAGUAACACUAAAUCUAACCCAAGGGAGCAAAUCAAUAUAAUUACCAUUCAAGAUGAGGAAGGGUUAGUUGCACCUGAACCAGAACCGAGGCAAGAAACUGUGGUAAGUAAAGGUAAGGGUGAGGUGGACAACAAUGACCAGAAACCGGUAAGUAAAGAAUACAAACCUCGUGUACCAUACCUAAACGCGACAAGGAAAGACCGCACAAAAGAACAAUUUGGUGAAUUCCUUAAAUUAUUAAAGAAGUUACAUAUUAACUUACCGUUUAUUGAAGCUCUUUCACAGAUGCCAAACGCAGUCAAAUUCUUAAAAGAGCUUUUAACAAAUAAACAGAAGUUGGAUGAAGCGUCGCAUGUGGAACUAAAUGCAAUUUGUUCAGCCAUACUAUAUAAUAAGCUAGCCAAAAAAUUAAAAGAUCCAAGGAGUUUUACGAUUCCCUGUUUAAUUGGUAGCCUAGAUGUUAAUAAUGCUUUGGCUGAUUUAGGGGCUAGUAUUAAUGUCAUGCCUUACAAAUGUUUAAGCAACUAGGUCUUGGGAAACCCAAACAAACUAGGAUGAGUAUACAAUUAGCCGAUAAAACAAUUAGAUUUCCUAGAGGGAUUAUUGAAGAUGUACUCGUUAAAAUUGACAAAUUUAUAUUCCUAGUUGAUUUCGUUGUUCUAGACAUAGAAGAGGAUAGUAAUGUUCCUUUAAUUUUAGGGAGGCCCUUUUUAGCAACUGCUAGAACAAUAAUUGAUGUUGGCACAGGAGAACUCACACUUCGUGUGGGAGACGAAACAAUCACCCUUCAAGCUCGUAAUUCGAGGAACACAUCGAAAAUUGAAGGUGGUUGUAUAAAUCAUUCUAUUAAAACUGACCAUGUGGUGCAACCUACUUUGCAGGAAAUAAGUUCGAAGAACCUAUACGAGCCAUGUUCAAGCAACAACAACAGACCUAUCUAUGAAGAACGUAGGCUACAAAUCAAGGAACUAGAUUAAUGGCGGACACAUAAAUCGAGGACACACGAUAAACCAAAACCAUGCCAUGACCAGCUCAAUAUCGCACCAAAUCAACUUAAGGUUGGAGACAAAGUACUACUAAAUGCAGCAGACCAUCGUAUUGCAACUUCUGAACCUAACGGAGCAAUCCUUCUUGCGGUACUCAGUAUUUUCCCAUAUGGUACAAUCGAGGUAAUUCACCCCAAAUUCAGCACUUUUAAGGUAUAAAAUACUUGUCUUAAACCUUAUUUUGAUAAAAUUGAUAGCAGGGAUGAGGAGUGUAAACUCCUCGCACCACCGUGACCAUGCACCAGAAAGGUAAGUCGAGCUUAGGCUAUAAAUAAGCGCUUCUCGGGAGGCAACCCUAGCACUAAUGAUGCCUCUUUAAAAUUUUAGUUUUUAACAUCUAAUCACCAACUAAAUCAUUGAAACAUAGGUUUUCUAAUCCACACGACCUGGCACACGGGCGUGCCUUAGAUCGUGCUCGCACCAUGGGAGGAGACACGGUUGUGCGAUACGGCCGUGUGAAAACAAGGUAAAAUCUUUCUCAACACGAGUUUUGAUAAGUAGCCACGGCCGUGCGACAUGGCCGUGGUCGAGUCUGUCAAACCAACACGAGCGUGUGACACGCCCGUGUCUUUACACCGUGGUUGAAAUUGAGAAUUGAGCACGGGCGUUCGACAUGCCCGUGCCUACCAACUGUGCUCAAGACUAAUAAAAUAACACAGGCGUGGACAUCCAUACAUGGGCAUGGGAGAAGCGAACAAAGCAGAACAUGGACCACAGCCAGGCGACAAAACCAAGUGCACCAACACGCCCAAAGAGCACGGGCGUGUGUCGACUCUCAACGAGCCCAAAUUUAAAAAAUCGUAAAACAAACGGGAAAAAAUUAGGCACACCCGUGUGCCCCAAAAUCUAUAAAUACCCCUCACUAUUCAUCAUCCCCUUCCCCAAAACCCCUAACCCUAGCCGCUGCAACAUCACACACCCUAUCUGCCACGCUCGUGUGCCGACCACAACACCGCUUUCGACGACCCAAAGUUUCUCCCUCUUGCGUUUGUUCAUUUUUUCUCUCUAUUCUCUUCAUCCUUUUACUUAUUUCAUGAUAUUUUGUUUUAUUUUGAGUAAAUAAUCGUAGUUAUUAUGAUAGAAUCCUUAUGCCCUUUGUUAAAAAAAUUGUCGUCUUAGUCAAUACAUUUUGCUACACUCAUCCAUUUUUCUUGUUUCCAUAGAGUUCAUGCUUACCUACACCAUAUUUCAUUCUUAUCAAACUCACAUGCAUUCAUUUACUAGAUGUUUUUGUUUGCAUUACUCUCGUAGUCCUAUUCAUAAUAAUGACGUGAUAUAUCUGCUUUGGUUGUUUUAGUAUACUUUUCAUUUAGUACGUAAGCCCAUGAAAUAUUCUUUUUCAGUUUUAACACGCGUACAUCCUUGGGGAAUACUUAACUUUGACUUUUCAUUGCAGGUAUACAAUGUUAUCCUCACAUGGUAAGAAGACCACUGUCCCCACCUCGAAUAAGAGAAAAGGAGCAGCGUCAUCCUCGGGUCCUACCGCUGAGAUCCGUCACCCUUUCCUCCAGUUCCCCUUGGGACCCCAAGAGGAGCUAUUUCAGAUAUUACGGGCCUGACUCCUAGGUGUGGGCCGUUGCAUUUACUGGGCUGCACUUGAGCAAAUUCAGAUGGCUAACGCGGUCCGAGCCCUCCUGACGACUGAAUCGUGGGGGCUCUUCUUUGAGAUCAUUGAGCCGAUAUACCUCGAGCUCACAAUGGAACUCUGCUCGACCUUCCAUCUUUAAGUUGUCAUGACAAACUUUGACGAUCCUGGAACGAUCCAGUUCCGCCUUGGUGGUCUAGUGUGCUAGUUGAGCGUACUGGAGUUUGGAAUUGCACUUGGGCUGUACAUGGAGGAGUUCAUGGACGACAAUGAACUCGACACUCUCCAUCGCCACAUCCACUACUCCCCCUCAAAAUGCUGGAAGGACCUUGUCCAUGCCUCGGCCACUUAUGAUCCUAGCCACUCUAAGGCAUCGGCCCUUACCCAAUCCCUACGAUACCUACACGCCAUCUUGGCCCACACUCUGACAAGACAGCGAGAGAGCACAGGUUUCAUCAACACUCACGACGCCUAUUUCUUCUGGAGAAUGGCGAAUGGGUAUGUCUUCGACCUUCCCUAUUUCAUUGCUCUCUCCAUUCGCCAUCAGACAGAACGACAUAGGAGAGGAGUCAUCUCGACCGGGCCUUAUGUGACUCGAUUGGCUUGGUACUUCGGGCUCUUCAACACAGCAGUACAAUCGUCCUCCCUCAUUCUCAUCGGCCAGAUGUCCCCAUAAGGCAUCUCGAGCAUGCUACAUAUGAGGAUGAUCGAGAAACGACAUGGCACCUACCCUCAUCAGUACCGCCUCAUCCAGUCUACCGAGGAGGAGGACCCAAAGGGCAUUACUGAUGAUGUCCCUCCACGUCAUGAGAACCCACCAUCUCAGCCACCACCCAUCCAUCGUCUAGUUCAUACGGUGACUUUAUACUCUGACAUCUCUGAGCGCCUUACUCGAUUUGAGCACCAGGGUUUUCAACGCUUUGAUCACAUUGAUGACACUCUUCAUCAGAUUUGUCAGCACCUUCACAUCUCAUCGCCACCACCACCUUGCGAACCAUUCGGCGAUGACGAUGUUUAAAAACUUUUUAUUUAUUAUUUUUAUUUUCACUUUUAUCUUUAUUUAUCCUCUUUAAGUACUUUUUAUUUAUUUUCCUUUAAUAUUAUUUUAAUUUUAGGUUUUAUAAUUUUUAUUGAAUAAUUUAUAAUUUCGGCUAUUUCAUUAUGAGUAAUUAUGCUUCCUUAUGUUUCCUAAAGAGUUCUUAAUUUUAUCACACUUAUAAAGAGCUCCAUAGCUCAUCAUCACUUAGGAACUAAAAAUUCCAAUGGAAAAGGUUCUCCACGACUGCCAUGUCUUGCUCAACCACGACCAUAGCUACUACCAGAUAUAAUAUUCUUUUGGCAUAGGACUUAUGCACUAAUGAACCUUACCACCACCAGAUUAUCCUCCUCCACUCUCAUCAUUGCCUUGGCCGAUUAUUCUCCAUAACUCCAAUUCAGGGAGUUCAUUCAUCAUUCAGGAAGUUUCAUUUCUCUCCCUAUCUUAUGAUUAUAUAUCUAUAUUUUUCAAUAUAUCUAUCUUUGUACAUUGAGGGAAAUGUAUAUCUUAACUGUGGGGGGUCUUUUAUAUCAUCAUCAAAAAUCCCUGAAUUUUGUCUUAUUGUCACGUGAAUCUCUCAUAUCACUAUUAGAAUGAAUUUUAAUUAAUCUAUGAUUUUUAUUGAUAUGUCUUGAAUUAAAACAUAGGCAUUUAUGCAUUGACUGUUUAAACUUUAAGACAUUAAAGAAUCAAGCAUGAUAAGUUGAUUUUUGAAGAAUUAAAAACUUUUAGGUUAUUUCCCCAAAGUUUAGAUAUUAUCUUGAGUUGAAAUUCACAAGUUUAAACAUAAAAAAGCCACAAUUUUUGUGAGAUCUUGAGCCUUUAGAGCAUAUUUUAUUUCUUUCAUGCUCACUUUUAUUAUGAGUGCGUCAGUAUUGAUUGUUAUUCUAGACCUUGCUUGAUUAUGCAUGUUAAGGCCACACCAUUUGAUUUGAUAUGUCGAGAUGAUAAAGGCACUUAGGUUUAACCCACUCACUCCAAAAAAGCCUACCUUCAUAAUUAACCCUUAGUGAACCCCUUUGAGCCUAACAAGCCAUCAAUUGACUUACCCUCAAUUGUAAACCAUAACCCAUUAUUAUUGAAAUCCCCUAAUUUGAUCCCUAUUUUUGUCGAGAUUUGAUUUGAAUUAAUUGCUUAGCUAUGUUUUAUUCUUCGUUGCAACAAUUAAGUUCUAUGUUAUUUGACUUGUUCUUAAAAAAAACAAUAACAAUAACAACAAUACUUACAUACAUAUUAGUAGUAAUUCGUCAUUUUUGAGCUUGAGUGUUAAUUCCAUAUUCAGAGAAGAAGCUCACUUGUAUUCAACCGAUAAUUAGUUAUUUUUCUAGUUAGGUGAUUUCUUCAAUUCAAUCUCGAUUCUAACCUUUUCUUUCAGCUUGUGACCACACCCCCUAACCAAAGCCACGUUACAACCCUUUAAAGACCUUUUUGAUUAAUGUAUCAUCUCAAUAUAUAGUGGUGGAGAUUUGAUUUUCAAGCAAGCCUAUGGUAAUAAUUUUUCAUAUUGACUAAUAAGUGUUUUAUUUGAUGUCCUUAAACAUCUCGAGUGAUUUGAGUGAACCUUUAGUGAAGAUGUUAAACUCUGUGAUAUUUUGAUCAAAGGUGAUUACUUAGAUGAGGGGAGACACCUAUGUUUUCGUUAUAAAAUACUAAACUUGGAAUGUUUGAAACUUUGAUGUACUUUUAGUUGAAUUUUCAAUGUAUGAUUACUUAUGGAUUAUUUUGAGAUAUUGUUGAUAGGGAUUAUAAAUUGGGAAUAAUUUAUUUUGAUUGUGAGUUGAGGAUUUUGCUUGAGGACAAGCAAACGCUUAAGUGUGGGGGUAUUUGAUAAAUAAUAAUUUAUACAUAUUUUUAUCCCAUGCUUAGCGCAUUUAUGGAUAGUUUCUUCUUAAAUUUGGUGAAUUCGAUGCUCCUAAUUCUUUAAUUUCAUGUUUAUACUCAGGUGAGCGAAGGGAAGUAAAAAGAGUGAGAAAUGGGCCAAAAAUAGAGAAAAUGGACCCACAUGGGAAAUCAACACGGCCUGGACUUCUUCACACGGGCGUGUCAUACGGCCGUGUCCAUUUGGCAGGAUUGAAGCACGACUUACACGGGUAGACUACACACCCAUGCCUGAUCAACAGCCUUGACCGUGGGCAGGAGUAAUCGCACACGGGCGUGUCACACGGCCAUGUCCGUACCGAGCCCAAGUAUAGUCCUAUUCAGAAAAGGCCACUUGUGAGGGCUCUUAGGCAUUCUAAAGCCUAUUUAAACACCUGAGGAGGCACUUAGAAGAUACACACGAAGUAGGAAGCAAGGAAUUACUCAAGGGAAGUCGGAUUCAUCGUCAAGAUUGAAGAUCUCCCUUUAAUUUCCAUUUAGGGGUUUUGGGUUUUCUUUAUGUUUUGUAUUCAUUAUUCUUCUAAGAUGUUUCCUUUUAUAAUUAUGAACUAAACCUCCUAAAUACCUAAGGGGAAUGAAACCUAAGAUAGAUCUUGUUAUUAUUAUCUGAAUUGUAUGAUAAAUAUUUGACUUGUUCUUAAUUAUGUAUUUUUAAUUCUUGUUUUAAUAUUCUAGGAUAUUGAUUCAAGUUAAUGCUCUUAUUCAGAGGAGGAAAAGACCCUAUCUAAGAGUAAAUUUUUCAUAAUUAAGCGGAUUUGAUUGCACGCCUAGAGAUAGGGUAAUAAGAUUUUGUCAGAUUAGGGUGAAACCUAAUAAGGGGAUCCAUAGAUCGAGUUAAUGCAACAUUAGGGCGUUAAUUAGAAAGAGAUUUUAAUUAAUCAACCUAGGGUUAGAUGUUAUUAGUCUCGACAGAGAUAAUAAUAUAACUUAGGGACUUCUACGGAUCAAGUCAAAUGAAUAAAUCGUCUGAUUUAGAGUCAAAUAACAAGUGAAGUUAGGUGGAUUUUUCCUUAGGUAUUGUCUUAAUCAAUCGAAUUUUCCCAAAAGCUUUUCCCCAAUUUCUCUCUGUGCACUCUUAGUUUAGUUAAUUAGUUUAGAUAAAUAAAUCCCUUAAUUUUUAGGCUAGAUAAUAAAAACAAAGUAAUUACUAGUACUCUUGGUUCCUUUGGGUUCAACAAUCCGAUCUUGAUAAAGCUAUACUACUGUUCGAUAGGUACACUUGCCUUCAUCGUGAUAAUAGUUAGUUUUAAGAACGAUUAAUUAGAAAUUUUUAAAACCUAUCGCGAAUAUCACGUAUCACUUAUUUAUCCAUGAACAUAUAAACCAUGCUUUCAAAUUAGAGUAAUAACCAUUAGCUCAAUUAUAUAAAUCAAGUUUGCACAUAUUCAUUACAUAACCAACCAAAACAUGUCAUGUUUCACUAGCCAAUUUACAUAUAUACAAACCAUACAUCAUAACACCACCGUCUCGAUAUCUAUUUCAUAUCCAAUUUUCAAAUCAAAACAGUAUAUCUCAAAACCAUGUUUCUUGUUUCAUAUUUCUCAUGUUCGAAUCAUAGAACCACAAGGUCAUAUAAUGAUCACAUAUAACACACAUUCAUUUGUAUACAUUUCUUUCAUUCAUGAUAAUAUAUUUCACAUAUCGUCAUUAGAAACAUUUUCACCUUCCAUUUUUGAAUUUCAUAUACAAUUCACACGUACUAGAAUCAUAUAUGGUAAAAAUGUAACACCCCCAUGCCCGAGACCAUCGUCGGAGUCGAGCUUGAGGGGUUACCGAACAAUAUUUAUCACAUUAAGAACUUCAAAUCAUUUAUUUCUACAUUCACAGCUUUCUAGCUACCCACAUCACAGUUACAAGAAAAAUCAUAUCUCGAGUUACAAAACUCACAAUCAAGAUCUGUAAAUUUUCCCUGAAUCUAGACUCACAUAUCUAUUUACUAAUUUUUUUUCUAGAAUUUUUGGUAGGGCCAAUUAGUACAGUUUAUUAGUUAAAGUCUCCCCUGUUUCAGCGUUCGACUGCUCUGACCACUGUGUAUUACGAAUCAGAUAUUUCUCCAUACAGAAUUUAAAUGACUAUGAGGUUUGUUUCUCUUAAAGCUAGACUUAAUAAGGAAUCUGUACAUAUAAAGAAAAACUUCUAAUUAUUUUUUUAAAAUUUAUUAUGAAUUUUUUUAAAGUCAGAACAGGGGAUCCAGAAAUCACUCUGGCCCUAUUUCACAAAAUUUUAAAUAUCUCAUGAAAUAUAAUUUAUAUGCCUGUUUUGUUCAAUCCACAUGAAAAUAGACUUAUUAAGCUUCAAUUUCAUAUCUUACUCAUCAUUUAGUUCCAUUUAUACUAUUUUUAGUGAUUUUUCAAAUUCAUGUCAUUGCUGUAGCAAUAUUCUGUUUUAAGGCAAGUUUCAUCUUUCCAUGAAUUUUUAUGAACUAGAUAACCUAUUAAAUUUCCAUAAUAUCAAACAUGAUCUAAAUUAGCCAUCACCAUGACUUAUCAAUAUCAAAAAUUUUCUCAACCAAACAUGGCCAUAUCAUAAAAUUAUUUACACAAAAUAAGUAUAUUGCUAUACAUGCCAUACUUAAGUUUUACAAGCCAUUUACCCAGAUGAAAGUCCUUUGGAUAGUGUGAUCGAACCUUCGACCCGUCCCGAUUCCCGAGCUGGCUUGUUCAAAAAUACAGUAAAUAAAGAGGAGGGAGUAAGCAUAAAUGCUUAGUAAGUUCAUAUGUAAAUAACAAGUAACAUAACAAUACAAAUAUACCAAACAACUUUAGCAUGGUAUCACCAAAACAUAUAUCACAUUUCUAAACAUCAUUCAUCAUCUUACCACCUUAUCGUUGUUGUAUCUAUUUUCAACCCGAGGGUUAAGAACAUACCUGUCCAAAGUGUCCAUUUCACAACACUUACCAAAACAUCGCUUCAUCUUAAGUGUUCUUCCAUUUCACUAGAAAUUUCACCCGUUGAACACAUCGGAAGA